UUGAUGAACUGUUCGGUGCCCUCACUGACAGCAAUGUUGUGCUCACCAAGACGCACCUGGACGCGGCUGCAGAAAAAUACAUGAAGAUCACAGAGGGCUUGUGGUGAAAUUUGAAUCCAAAAUGUAAUCUCUUCACUUACGACUUGUAGCAGUGAGCAGCAGACACCACCCAGAUGCUGGAGAUCAGGGAACCUCCACAGAAGUGGUAGCCAGCAUUCAGGGACACCUGAUACAAGAACUCACAAGCUGUGGCAAACAGGGCCAGGAGAAUGAAGUACUUCAUGGUUGUGUUCUGCACCUACUGAAUCUACAAAUAAC